rnacentral:rRNA from 1 species
UACAGAGGUCCCAAGCGUUGUUCGGAUUCACUGGGCGUAAGGGGUGCGUAGGUGGCGCUGUAAGUCAGGUGUGAAAUUUCGGAGCUUAACUCCGAAACUGCAUUUGAUACUGCGGUGCUUGAGGACUGGAGAGGAGACUGGAAUUUACGGUGUAGCAGUGAAAUGCGUAGAGAUCGUAAGGAAGACCAGUGGCGAAGGCGGGUCUCUGGACAGUUCCUGACACUGAGGCACGAAGGCCAGGGGAGCAAACGGG